GUGGGCGCUGGAGAAUUGAGGGGGGCUGCUCCUAGUACGAGAGGACCGGAGUGGACGCAUCACUGGUGUUCGGGUUGUCAUGCCAAUGGCACUGCCCGGUAGCUAAAUGCGGAAGAGAUAAGUGCUGAAAGCAUCUAAGCACGAAACUUGCCCCGAGAUGAGUUCUCCCUGACUCCUUGAGAGUCCUGAAGGAACGUUGAAGACGACGACGUUGAUAGGCCGGGUGUGUAAGCGCAGCGAUGCGUUGAGCUAACCGGUACUAAUGAACCGUGAGGCUUAACCUU
rnacentral:rRNA from 1 species